UCUGGACUAGGAUGUGACUGGAGUGAGCACCUGGAGGUCUGCCUGCCUCUCACUCACUUGCCUUCCCCCACCCUUCCACACCCCACCCUUCCGUUACCCACAUCUUCCAGAUUGACCGACUCUGAGGAUCCUGCUAAUGCCUAAGUGGCUGUGAAUAGACUGUGAAUUCCUGGAGUGCAGGAGCUGUCUUUGUGCCAUUCUUUGUAUCCACAAAGCGAAGAGCAGUGCCUGGUGAAUGGACGUGAACAGAAUUUUUCAUCCUAAAUUCCUUGGAAUUGUCUUGAAUCAACAUCCUCUUCAAGAACAAAAGACAACCUGUGA